rnacentral:rRNA from 1 species
CCUACGGGAGGCAGCAGUGGGGAAUUUUGGACAAUGGGCGCAAGCCUGAUCCAGCCAUGCCGCGUGUGGGAAGAAGGCCUUCGGGUUGUAAACCACUUUUGUCAGGGAAGAAACGGCUCUUACUAAUAUUAGGGGCUAAUGACGGUACCUGAAGAAUAAGCACCGGCUAACUACGUGCCAGCAGCCGCGGUAAUACGUAGGGUGCAAGCGUUAAUCGGAAUUACUGGGCGUAAAGCGUGCGCAGGCGGCUUUGCAAGACAGAUGUGAAAUCCCCGGGCUCAACCUGGGAACUGCAUUUGUGACUGCAUGGCUAGAGUACGGUAGAGGGGGAUGGAAUUCCGCGUGUAGCAGUGAAAUGCGUAGAUAUGCGGAGGAACACCGAUGGCGAAGGCAAUCCCCUGGACCUGUACUGACGCUCAUGCACGAAAGCGUGGGGAGCAAACAGGAUUAGAUACCCUGGUAGUCCACGCCCUAAACGAUGUCAACUGGUUGUUGGACGGCUUGCUGUUCAGUAACGAAGCUAACGCGUGAAGUUGACCGCCUGGGGNGGACGGCGCGAGUAGUAACGUAAGUAGAGUUAGACGGCGUGAGACGUGCCGACGGACGACGACGAGGGAGGAGG